AAUAAUUCUCUCUCCCCUUUUUUCUUCCCUCACGCGACACAUUCCCUCUCGUUUUUGUUUCUCUUCACGCCGUUAACACCCACACAGCCGCUGCCACCGUCCAAUGAGUCGAGGUGUCGUCGAGUUUGUUAGAUCUGAAGUCGUUCACCGCGUCGCUUCCCUCAGGCGCCGCCCAGCCCUCAUUCGCCAGCUGCGGCCAGAUCUGAAGGCCCAACCGCGUGUUAGAUCUGAAGGCCCAACCCGUGCGUCCGUCGCCUACGCCAUUCGCGAGUCUCCAACCGCUUGAUCUGUCAGCGUUGCCUUGGUUUAUGCCGCUUUACCUGUUUCGUGCGCCUCAGGUCUGUCCGACAUCGAAGUCCUAGCCAUAAGUCUUUAGCCGCCCUAUGUCGCAUGCCAGACUGUCUGUUAGUCGCCACUAGCUGCAAAAGUGCCAGCCUUCAGCCCGAUGCCCAGUGGCCCAGCCCCUUUUGCCGCACUCACGCCGUUCGAGCCAGCCUUUUGUUGCCGCAAUCGUCGUUUGGGUUUCAUUGGAUUCUUAAAUAAUUUGGUAUAGGUGUCGCUUCAAGGCUCUGCUUGGCAAGGAGGGGAUAAGCUUGCUUGAACUAAUUUGGAUUUACUUUGAGGUAAAGAUAGAGAUGCACCGACGAUUGACAAGUGGAAUCCGUGAUCGAGUCACUGGGACCAGUUUUAUGCUUCUGCUCAUGAGAUUUAGAUUUCUUUUCAUGUUUUUUUUAACUUUCAGUUUUGAUGUUUGAAACUUACUAUUAAGAAUUGUUUUCAGACUUAUUUAUUAUCAUUUA